rnacentral:rRNA from 1 species
UUCCGGUUGAUCCUGCCGGAGACCACCGCUAUUGGUGUCCGCUUAAGCCAUGCGAGUCGAGAGGGUUCGGCCCUCGGCAGACCGCUCAGUAACACGUGGUGAACUUGCCCUAAGGUGGGGGAUAACCUCGGGAAACUGAGGAUAAUACCCCAUAGUCCUGGGACGCUGGAAUGCCUCCAGGACGAAAACUCCGGUGCCUUAGGAUAGCACUGCGGCGUAUCAGCUUGUAGUGAGGGUAACGGCCUCACUAGGCUUCGACGCGUACGGGCGUUGAGAGACGUCGCCCGGAGAUGAACUCUGAGACACGAGUUCAGGCCCUACGGGGCGCAGCAGGCGCGAAAACUGCGCAAUGUGAGAAAUCACGACGCGGGGACACCAAGUGCCAGCACAGAGUGUUGGCUGUCUUCUUGUCUAAAAAACAAGGAGAGUAAGGGCUGGGUAAGACGGGUGCCAGCCGCCGCGGUAAUACCUGCAGCCCAAGUGGUGGCCGUUAUUAUUGGGCCUAAAACGUUCGUAGCCGGCUUGGUAAAUGCCUGUGUAAAUCGAACGGCUUAACCGUUCGAACAGCGGGUAGACUGCCAGGCUUGGGACCGGGAGAGGCUAGAGGUACUC